AAGUUUCUUAUUGCUUACUGUUUUCUCAAUAUUAACUUGAAAGAUGUUGAGAAAGAUAUUAACUUGAUAUACGUACUGUUUUGUGUUUUCUUCUAUGGAAAUAGUGUGUGAAAGGACUUCUGUUAUUGUUGCAAUACGUUUGCAUAAAUAUAUAGAAGCUGAAUUGCAGGGACAUUACAGGUUUUGUGUUUGAGUAUCUGGGCAUAUAUACGUAAAAUACAGGUUUGUGUCUGAUCCACUAUUUUCAAUCUAUUUUCAAGUGAUAUUGUGAACCAUAUAUGACCCGUGCGGAAGCAUAGGUGGGAGAUCUAGUUCAUUCUAGGGAGAGUAACAUAGUGGAGGACAAUAGGUUAUAGCUGACAUGAGUUAUGUUUACAAAAGAAUCAGAGUUUGUUUUUCUCUCUCUAUGUCUCUAAUAAACUUGUUUUUUUAUUCUAUGAUAAUUGCUGAUGUGAGGAAAAGGUUUGAUGCUUGGAGUUGAACUUGUCACUGGCUGUGAACUUAAAAUUCCAGCCAAAGAUGAAACACGACAUGUGAUGGACCAAAUAAAAGGUUAUGGAAUUGUAUUCAGAAAUAAGCUCCCUUAUGUUUUACCAAAGAUGUUUCCUAAUGGAUGCUAUGGAGUGCACAUUAUCUAGAAUUUGACCUGUGAAGCUUAAAUAAGAUGCAAGUGUAAAUAAAUGACAACUUAUUUUAUGAGAAGUUAAACUCUAUUAGAAUAUUAUGUAUUGACUCAAGCAAGUAAAGUUUAUAAAUUUUAAAUGCUUGCUUAGACCAAUAUA